CUGGUACUAUUAAGAUGGAGGUUGUAAAGCAGAGGUAUCACUGGUCUAUUAAGAUGGAGGUUGUAAAGCAGAGGUAUCACUGGUACUAUUAAGAUGGAGGUUGUAAAGCAGAGGUAUCACUGGUUCUAUUAAGAUGGAGGUUGUAAAGCAGAGGUAUCACUGGUUCUAUUAAGAUGGAGGUUUUAAAGCAGAGGUAUCACUGGUUCUAUUAAGAUGGAGGUUGUAAAGCAGAGGUAUCACUGGUUCUAUUAGAUGGAGGUUGUAAAGCAGAGGUAUCACUGGUUCUAUU